rnacentral:rRNA from 1 species
CCUACGGGUGGCAGCAGUGGGGAAUAUUGGACAAUGGGCGAAAGCCUGAUCCAGCCAUGCCGCGUGUGUGAAGAAGGCCUUCGGGUUGUAAAGCACUUUCAGUGGGGAAGAAAGCCUUGGGGCUAAUACCCUCGAGGAAGGACAUCACCCACAGAAGAAGCACCGGCUAACUCCGUGCCAGCAGCCGCGGUAAUACGGAGGGUGCGAGCGUUAAUCGGAAUUACUGGGCGUAAAGCGCGCGUAGGCGGUCUGAUAAGCCGGUUGUGAAAGCCCCGGGCUCAAUCUGGGAACGGCAUCCGGAACUGUCAGGCUAGAGUGCAGGAGAGGAAGGUAGAAUUCCCGGUGUAGCGGUGAAAUGCGUAGAGAUCGGGAGGAAUACCAGUGGCGAAGGCGGCCUUCUGGACUGACACUGACGCUGAGGUGCGAAAGCGUGGGUAGCAAACAGGAUUAGAUACCCGUGUAGUC